rnacentral:rRNA from 1 species
GAUGAACGCUGGCGGCGUGCCUAACACAUGCAAGUCGAACGGAACUUUUACGGAUUGAGACUUCGGUUGAUUGAAGUUUAAGUUUAGUGGCGGACGGGUGAGUAACGCGUGAGUAACCUGCCUUUCACAGGGGGAUAACGUUUGGAAACGAACGCUAAUACCGCAUAACGUAGCGGGGUCGCAUGGCUCUGCUACCAAAGAUUUUAUCGGUGAGAGAUGGACUCGCGUCCGAUUAGGUAGUUGGUGAGGUAACGGCCCACCAAGCCGACGAUCGGUAGCCGGACUGAGAGGUUGAACGGCCACAUUGGGACUGAGACACGGCCCAGACUCCUACGGGAGGCAGCAGUGGGGAAUAGUUGCACAAUGGGCGCAAGCCUGAUGCAGCAACGCCGCGUGAGGGAAGACGGUUUUCGGAUCGUAAAGCCCUGCUUUGGGACGAUAAUGACGG